CACACCUGAGGGUGCCGUGGUCAGAGACUCACCGGGGACGCAUGUGAUUCACACUGGUGCUCUGGUCGCCGGGUCAGAGACUCACUGGGGACGCAUGUGAUUCACACUGGUGCGCUGGCCGCCGGGUCAGAGACUCACUGGGGACACAUGUGAUUCACACUGGUGUGCUGGCCGCCGGGUCAGAGACUCACUGGGGACGCGUGUGAUUCACACUGGUGCGCUGGCCGCUGGGUCAGAGACUCACUGGGGACGUGACUCUGGAACCUUGCAGGCAGCAGCGGGUAGCCAUGGGGCAGAGCAUGCAGACUCUAGGCACAUGUGGGCAAAGACCCGCCAGGUGUGGGGCACAGCAGGGAGCUCAGGGCCAUCCCCGACCCCCAGGGUCCCUGUUUCCUUCUAGAAAGAGGAUGACAGUCUGGGAAGGAGCUGGGCCUGAGUGUGGGUCAGGAGGCUGGGAAGUGACCAUGUGGGGUGAAGGGAGUUCUUGGAAGAACCCUGGGUUCCUGAGGCUGCAGCUCAGGACGUGGG
rnacentral:lncRNA from 1 species